rnacentral:ncRNA from 1 species
UAUUAAACGUUGAACGGCCCAAAUUAAUUCUUAAGGUUCAGAGAGCUGAUGCUUGGUGCAAAUCAGUCCUUGAGAUUAAUGGCACAGCCGUGAGUUAGAUUAUCGAAUAAAGAUGAUCCGUUAGCCCGUUAUCGCUGUAGUUUUAGAAACUACAUAAGUUUAGGCUGUGUGAGCAGCUUAUUAAACUGAGGUGGCACCGCGAUAAAUUCGUCCUCUUGGAGUAAUCCAGAGGUUUUUUUUGUUGGUCUAAAACUAGCUGAGUUGUUUGCUGCGAAGUGAACAAAAUUUGAGGUGGUACCGCGAAACAUUCGCCCUCUUU